AGGGCUUGUUGUUUGGGAAAAUUCUGAUUUCUUUUUCUGGUAUUAUGUUGUUGACACAAAAAAGUAUAUAAUCCGUAAUGACGUCACACAUUCCUUCUAAUGUUUGUUCUGCAUCAUAGAACAUGUCCCAAUCCGUACACGCAAAACAUCCUUGUAGGUCAUCUAAUGCUGGAC